rnacentral:rRNA from 1 species
GUCGAGCGGACCGACGGGAGCUUGCUCCCUUAGGUCAGCGGCGCCCUUGAAAGUAACACGUGGGUAACCUGCCUGUAAGACUGGGCCUCUCAAAAGAAAACCGGGGCUAAUACCGGAUGCUUGAUUGAACCGCAUGGUUCAUUCAUGAAAGGCGGCUUCGGCUGCCGUCCUCUCAAAGAGACCCGCGGCGCAUUAGCUAGUUGGUGAGGUAACGGCUCACCAAGGCGACGAUGCGUAGCCGACCUGAGAGGGUGAUCGGCCACACUGGGACUGAGACACGGCCCAGACUCCUACGGGAGGCAGCAGUAGGGAAUCUUCCGCAAUGGACGAAAGUCUGACUUAGCAACGCCGCGUGAGUGAUGAAGGUUUUCGGAUCGUAAAGCUCUGUUGUUAGGGAAGAACAAGUACCGUUCGAAUAGGGCGGUA